UAGGGAAUCUUCCGCAAUGGACGCAAGUCUGACGGAGCAACGCCGCGUGAGUGAAGAAGGAUUUCGGUUCGUAAAACUCUGUUGUUAGAGAAGAACAGCGCAUAGAGUAACUGUUAUGCGUGUGACGGUAUCUAACCAGAAAGCCACGGCUAACUACGUGCCAGCAGCCGCGGUAAUACGCAGGUGGCAAGCGUUGUACGGAUAUAUUUGGCGUAAAGCGAGCGCAGGCGGUCAAUUAAGUCUGAUGUGAAAGCCCCCGGCUCAACCGGGGAGGGUCAUUGGAAACUGGUUGACUUGAGUGCAGAAGAAGAGAGUGGAAGUCCAGGUGUAGCGGUGAAAUGCGUAGACAUAUGGAGGAACACCAGUGGCGAAGGCGACUCUCUGGUCUGUAACUGACGCUGAGGUUCGAAAGCGUGGGUAGCAAACAGG
rnacentral:rRNA from 1 species